rnacentral:lncRNA from 1 species
ACCCGCGGCGACACAGACACCGGGAGCGGCAGAGGCGUGUGACUUCAUAACAGAAAGAGGAAAGAAAAAAAAAAAAAGAGUGACUUCUGACUUGAACCUGCGGUGUGCUUUGAGAGAUCCUCCACCAGGUAAACACAGGACAAAUUUCCUCAGAUUCAUAGACCAUGUUUUUCUGCCCAGACAUCCUAAGACCCAAAUCCAACAUCUUAUUUAAUCCUUGCAACAUCCUAUAAGUUAGGUGUAUUUUAUUAUUUUAUUUCCAUCCUUUUUUUUUUUCUUUUUUUUGGCCACCCUGUGGCAUGGAGUUCCCAGACCAGGGAUCAGAUCCCAGCCAUAGCUGCACCCUAAGCUGCAACUGUGGCAGCACCAGAUCCUUAACCCACUGUGCUGGGCAGGGGAUCAAACCUGCAUCCCAGCACCCUCAAGACAACACGGCUCCUAUUGUGUCACAGCAGGAACUCCUUAUUUCCGUCUUACACAUGAGGAAAUUGAGAACAGAAAAGUUAGGCAACUUGAUCAACAUGUGCAAAGAUGUUCAUUGCAGAAUAAAUUAUAAUUGCCAAAUAAAACAAAACAAAGAGGAGAGGAUCUAAAUAUCUAAUAGUAGGCACAUUUUGUUAAAUCAAGAUUAAGAAGUUUCUCUUUGGGAGUUCCUGUUGUGGCAUGGUGGAAACAAGUCUAGUAUCCAUGAGGACUCGGGUUUGAUCCCUGGCCUUGCUCAGAGGGUCAGUGAUCCGGUGUUGCAAUGAGCUGUGGCGCAAGUUGCAGACUCAUGAAUCUGGCAGCAUUGCUGUGGCUGGGGUGUAGGCUGGCAGCUGCAGCUCCGAUUUGACCCCUAGCCUGGGAACUUACAUACGCCACGUAUGCAGCCCUAAAAAAAAAAGUUUCUCUUCUAUUCCUAGUUUGCUAAAAGUAAGUUAGCCUGGAUGGUGAAUUUUACGGAAUUUUCUAAUCUACUGAGAUGAUGAAAUAAUUUUUAUUCUUCAUCUUUUCCUGGUAACUUAUAUUAAUUGAUUUUCUAAUGUUAAAUUAUCUUGCAUUGCUGUGAUAAAAACCAACUUGACCAUGAAGCAUUAGCCUUUCUGUAUAUAGCUAAGAUUUAGUUUUAGACCUGAGAUUGGAUAAAAUAUUCCUCUCUGCUAUUUUCCUCGUCAAGAAUGAUGUUCAAAAUAUUGGAAUUACUUGCUCCUUGAAUGUAUGGUGGAAUAGGAAAAAAAAACAGUUGACAUCUGUUGUUUUCUUCGAGGGAAGAACUCUUACCUGCUGAUUUAAUUUCUGAUUUAGUUAGGUUUUCUAAUUUCUUCUUGAGUCAGUUUUGGAAAGUUUUAUUUUUGCUUUUAUAUAUAAACAUACAUUUCUGUUGGAUAUGUAUACAGCAAGGGAAUUUUUGGGUCAUGGGGUAGGUAUAUGUUCCGCUUUAAGAGAUACUAGCAAAUUGUUUUCUCCCUGUAUUAAUUUAAAAAUGUACAUGCCAACCAGGAGUGUAUGAGAGUUCUGAUCUCUCUGUAUCCUUUCCAAUACAAAGUAUUUUCUGUUUUGUCUGUUCUUUUGAUUUUUCAUUGAGACUCUACUGGUGGGUGUGAAGUAGUAUCACUGAAGUUUUAAUUUCUAUUUCCCAGCAGACUAAAGAAAUUGGGUACUUUUUCAUAUGCUAAUUGACCAUUUGAAUAUCUUUGUGAAAAGCCCUUGCAAGUUUUUAACAACCACAAAAAACAAGUGAAAUGCUUAUUCAGGUCUUUUGGAAAAAAAAUUGGGUUGUCUUAUUGAAUGGUCUUUCUUAUUGAAUUAUAGACAUUUUUAAUAAUAUGUAUUCUGGAUUUGAGGCCUUGGUAGAACGUAUAUAUUGUAAAUAUCUACUGUUUUUCCUAUGGUUUACCUUUUCACUCUUUUUAUGAAGAGAAAUUCCUUUAAAUGAUCCAUUCUUUUUCCUUUGUGCUUGGGCGCUAUUUAAGAAAUCUUGGCCUGGUUUCAAGAUCACAAAAACGUUUGAUGUUUGAUAUUUUCUUUUGAAAGCUGUAUCAUUUUUCGUUUCCAUUUUGGGCUGUGAUACAUCUGGCAUUGGUUUUAGUGUGCAUGAUGUGAGGGAGAGGGUCAAGGUUAAUUUUUUUCAUGUUCUUGAUCAACAGCCAUUCUUUUGUUAUAGCACGACUUAUCUAUUUACUUAUUUUGGUUAGGUUUACUGAAGUAUAAGGGACACACAGUAAGAUUCACUCUCUGGUGAAUUCAUGGUUUGAUAAACUUCAGCAAAAAAAUUAGGUACGGUUAGUCAGGUAACCACUACUACAAUCGGGAGGCAGGACAUACCCAACGCCUGAAAGAAUGCUCCUUUGUAGUAAACAACCACUGAUCUGAUUUCUGUCCCUAGGUUUUUCAGAAUAAAUAAAUGGAGUCAUAUAAUAUUUAGCCUUUUGUUACAAAUUUCAUUUUAAAAAAAUCUCAAAAAUUCAUCUGUGUUGUUGCCAGUACUAGUCAUUUGUUCUUUUUUAUUGCUGUGUAGAAUUCCAUUGUAUGGAUAUAUCACCAUUUGCUUAUCCAUUCACCAAUUGAUAAACAUUUGGGUUAUUUAUAAUUUUUGGCUCUUUGACUAAAGCUACUAUGAUUGCUUGUUAAUUGAUCUUCCUUUGGAUACAUGUUUUCAUUUCUAUUGGGUAAAUUAGUAGGAGGAGAAUUAUUGUGUCAUAUGGUAAGUGUAGCAAGUAUAUGAUUAAUGUUUUAUAUAUAUAAAAAUCCCUCCAGCUAUUCCCAUAGUGACUGUGCCAUUUUGCAUUCCAUUCAGCAGUAUGUGAAAUUUUGCUUGUUCCACAAUCUCUCCAGCAUUUGGUAUAAUCAGUCUCUGUUAACUUGAGCAAUUUGAAUUCAUGUAUAGUGUUAUCUUGUUGUAACUUUAAUUCUCAUUUCCUUCUUUGCUCUCUGUAUAUCUCCUUUGGUGAAGUGUCUGUUCAAAUCAGUCAUCCAUUUUAAAAAUUAAGUUAUCUGACUUUAAAUUAUUGAGCUAGAAUAGAAUAUAUUCUGGAUACAAACCUUUUCAUCAAAUGUGUGCUUCGCAAAUAACUUUUCCCAAUCCAUGGCUUGUUUUUCAUACUC